CCUACGGGAGGCUGCAGUGGGGAAUAUUGGACAAUGGGCGAAAGCCUGAUCCAGCCAUGCCGCGUGUGUGAAGAAGGCCUUCGGGUUGUAAAGCACUUUCAGUGGGGAAGAAAGCCUUGGGGCUAAUACCCUCGAGGAAGGACAUCACCCACAGAAGAAGCACCGGCUAACUCCGUGCCAGCAGCCGCGGUAAUACGGAGGGUGCGAGCGUUAAUCGGAAUUACUGGGCGUAAAGCGCGCGUAGGCGGUCUGAUAAGCCGGUUGUGAAAGCCCCGGGCUCAACCUGGGAACGGCAUCCGGAACUGUCAGGCUAGAGGGCAGGAGAGGAAGGUAGAAUUCCCGGUGUAGCGGUGAAAUGCGUAGAGAUCGGGAGGAAUACCAGUGGCGAAGGCGGCCUUCUGGACUGACACUGCCGCUGAGGUGCGAAAGCGUGGGUAGCAAACAGGAUUAGAUACCCGUGUAGUC
rnacentral:rRNA from 1 species